rnacentral:rRNA from 1 species
GUCGAACGGUAACAGGAAGAAGCUUGCUUCUUUGCUGACGAGUGGCGGACGGGUGAGUAAUGUCUGGGAAACUGCCUGAUGGAGGGGGAUAACUACUGGAAACGGUAGCUAAUACCGCAUAACGUCGCAAGACCAAAGAGGGGGACCUUCGGGCCUCUUGCCAUCGGAUGUGCCCAGAUGGGAUUAGCUUGUUGGUGGGGUAACGGCUCACCAAGGCGACGAUCCCUAGCUGGUCUGAGAGGAUGACCAGCCACACUGGAACUGAGACACGGUCCAGACUCCUACGGGAGGCAGCAGUGGGGAAUAUUGCACAAUGGGCGCAAGCCUGAUGCAGCCAUGCCGCGUGUAUGAAGAAGGCCUUCGGGUUGUAAAGUACUUUCAGCGGGGAGGAAGGGAGUAAAGUUAAUACCUUUACUCAUUGACGUUACCCGCAGAAGAAGCACCGGCUAACUCCGUGCCAGCAGCCGCGGUAAUACGGAGGGUGCAAGCGUUAAUCGGAAUUACUGGGCGUAAAGCGCACGCAGGCGGUUUGUUAAGUCAGAUGUGAAAUCCCCGGGCUCAACCUGGGAACUGCAUCUGAUACUGGCAAGCUUGAGUCUCGUAGAGGGGGGUAGAAUUCCAGGUGUAGCGGUGAAAUGCGUAGAGAUCUGGAGGAAUACCGGUGGCGAAGGCGGCCCCCUGGACGAAGACUGACGCUCAGGUGCGAAAGCGUGGGGAGCAAACAGGAUUAGAUACCCUGGUAGUCCACGCCGUAAACGAUGUCGACUUGGAGGUUGUGCCCUUGAGGCGUGGCUUCCGGAGCUAACGCGUUAAGUCGACCGCCUGGGGAGUACGGCCGCAAGGUUAAAACUCAAAUGAAUUGACGGGGGCCCGCACAAGCGGUGGAGCAUGUGGUUUAAUUCGAUGCAACGCGAAGAACCUUACCUGGUCUUGACAUCCACAGAACUUUCCAGAGAUGGAUUGGUGCCUUCGGGAACUGUGAGACAGGUGCUGCAUGGCUGUCGUCAGCUCGUGUUGUGAAAUGUUGGGUUAAGUCCCGCAACGAGCGCAACCCUUAUCCUUUGUUGCCAGCGGUCCGGCCGGGAACUCAAAGGAGACUGCCAGUGAUAAACUGGAGGAAGGUGGGGAUGACGUCAAGUCAUCAUGGCCCUUACGACCAGGGCUACACACGUGCUACAAUGGCGCAUACAAAGAGAAGCGACCUCGCGAGAGCAAGCGGACCUCAUAAAGUGCGUCGUAGUCCGGAUUGGAGUCUGCAACUCGACUCCAUGAAGUCGGAAUCGCUAGUAAUCGUGGAUCAGAAUGCCACGGUGAAUACGUUCCCGGGCCUUGUACACACCGCCCGUCACACCAUGGGAGUGGGUUGCAAAAGAAGUAGGUAGCUUAACCUUCGGGAGGGCGCUUACCACUUUGUGAUUCAUGACUGGGGUGAAGUCGUAACAAGGUAACCGUAGGGGAACCUGCGGUUGGAUCACCUCCUUACCUUAAAGAAGC